rnacentral:rRNA from 1 species
GAGCGGCGAACGGGUGAGUAACACGUGAGUAACCUGCCCUAGGCUUUGGGAUAACCCUCGGAAACGGGGGCUAAUACCGGAUAUUCAUGCUGGACGGCAUCGUCUGGUGUGGAAAGUUUUUCGGCCUGGGAUGGGCUCGCGGCCUAUCAGCUUGUUGGUGGGGUGAUGGCCUACCAAGGCGACGACGGGUAGCCGGCCUGAGAGGGCGACCGGCCACACUGGGACUGAGACACGGCCCAGACUCCUACGGGAGGCAGCAGUGGGGAAUAUUGCACAAUGGGCGGAAGCCUGAUGCAGCGACGCCGCGUGAGGGAUGAAGGCCUUCGGGUUGUAAACCUCUUUCGACAGGGACGAAGCGCGAGUGACGGUACCUGGAGAAGAAGCGCCGGCCAACUACGUGCCAGCAGCCGCGGUAAGACGUAGGGCGCGAGCGUUGUCCGGAUUUAUUGGGCGUAAAGAGCUCGUAGGCGGCUUGUUGCGUCAGCUGUGAAAACCCGCAGCUCAACUGUGGGCUUGCAGCUGAUACGGGCAGGCUUGAGUUCGGUAGGGGAGACUGGAAU